CUGAGCCUCUCCUGUCACCUGGCAGCUGGCUUUCUUCCACAGCAGGGCCCUCCUCCUGUGCCCCCGAGCCUUCUCCAGCCCCAGGUCAGACCCGAGACCAUCACCUGGCAGCACCCCAGCAAUCGCUGUGGUUGGCCAAACCACAUAGAGCGGGAAGUCACGGGGUGGGGGUGUGUCCCCCCAAACCUGUCACUCCUCAGGAAGCAUCCUUGAGAUGCCCUUCACCAGAAAGCAUUGAUAUCCAAUUAUGAAAUAUUAGAAAGGGUGGCGGGAGAGAACAUUCUGGAAAUGUUGCCUGUCUGCCUUGCCCAGUGGUCUCCUCUGAGCUCACCUCCUGUCCAGGAGGGCAGGGCCAGGCUUCCGGAGGACACAGGGGUGCCAGGGGAAGUCAUGUAAGAGGGCUGGAGGGCAGGGGCACGUGGGUCUGAGCCCUGCCUGGUCCCGCCCUGUCCCUUGCGGCCGGGACCCUUCUGCUCCAGGAGGGGGGAGGGGGGAGGCCUGGCGGCUGCUGGGCUCUGUCCUGCAGCUGGCCCCCCGCAGCUCCGCCGAGGCUUCCCUUCUCUCCACCAGGGAUACAACCUCUUUUGUCCCAUUGGGGCACUGAGAGACCCUCUCCAACAUCAGCAGGGCGUAAAGAAUGCAAACUACCCACUUUUACACACACACACACACACACACACACAGUCAUCAACACAGCGGAGCCGGAGCACCGGGAAGGUCCCUGGUGCUGAGCAGGGUGUGAGCCCCUCGGGCGUCACAAACCACGCACAGGCUCCAACGGCCGCCUUCCCAAGCCCCCAGAGCAGCCUGUGGGCGGUGAGGGGAGUCACGGGUGGGGACUUUCCACACGUGGAUCUGAUCAGGAGCUCAGGGAUGGGGUUUAGGUGCAGCAGGAGAGUGGGACGUUGGGGACUUGGCUGAAGGUGACAACCAGAUUCACUCAUUGAGAGCCUCACGUUAGGGCCAGAAUUUCUUGGGAGGAAUAGUAAAGUCAAGUUGAGAAGUUGGGUUAAAUCCAGGGUUCUGCUCCCAGGGCUUCGUCAGGGGGCCGCAGGAUCCUGUUCUCGGCCCCUGCAACAAUUGUCUCCGCCAGGUGCUUUGAUUAGCCCCCAUCUCACUGCUGAAGAAAGCAGGGCACAGGGACGUGAGGUGACUUGCCCUAAGCCGUACAGCUAGCAAGCCUCAGAGCCAGGGCUUGAACCAGGAUGCUGGCUCCAGGGUUCACAGGCUGACCCCUACGUUACGCUGCGGUUUGCAAAACCAAACACAGUGUCCCUGAAAAACAGAAGCCGAGGAACUCUGCAGAGAAAGUUCACAAAGCGGCAGUCCAUUAGUGACGGUGUGGGCAUCGCUCCAUGAUCGGGUGGCAGGCAUCUGUCCUCUCUACACCAACGUAAGACUCCCUGCCCCAAAGGUCACAGCAGAGGAAGGACACAACUGCCCUAGAGCACCCUUGUUUAAGGAAACUGAGCUGAGUCACAGAGGCAGAAAGCCUGCAGAUUAAAGUAUUUGGGGCUUUAGAUAAAUAAGUAAUGCCUUUAUUUCAAAGCCAUGAUUGGUAGGGUAGAAAAUAAUCCUGUGGCCUGAAAAGACCCCUGACCAGCCGGAGCCCAAGCCCUAGUGACUUCUUGGAGGACGUGGGAGCCCUUUCCUCUCUGCCUGCCAGUUGCAGCUCCAGAGAAGGAUGGUGUCCAUGGAGCUCCGGCCUGUGAGACGGAUCCCGGAGUAGCCACCUUCUGACUCCCCUGGCUCGGGCUUCAGGAACAGUAGGAACCCAGAGAGGCAGGCAGCUGGAGGGAGCUGGGGGAGAAGAUGAGACCCUGCACCCCCAGGAUGUGAGGGGGCCGUGGGGAGGAGCUGAGCUGUUCAGAGAUGUAAGUCCCACUUGCAGGCAGGGGAGGAAGCGCGGUUCGUGCAGGAGGGCAGGCUACGGACCCGAUCGAAGAAGCAGUGGGGAGCCUCCGAAGGUUCUUGAGCAAGGGAAGUGCUUGACGAGGCUGAGACUCCCAGCUCAGAGACGCCGUGAAGGAAAUGAGUUCUGAAAGUGCUGACGGGUCCUAUUUCAUGACCUGCAAGCGGUUUCACUGAGGGGCAGCAGAUCCGUGGAAAACGAUCAGGGAAAAAAAUUUUUGACUCAGACCCGUUGGGGCGGUGAUGGGGCACGAGGCCAGCGCGCUGCCCUCUGCUCGGGGGCAGGUGCACACCCGGCCUCCCUGAUAGCAGCAUCUGCUGAGAGCGGCGUUCUGUCAUCAAGCGCACCCCGUGCUGGCCUGGCAGGGGACGCUCCCGCCUCCACAUAUGAAAUCGAUUCUGCUCUAUAUUCAAGAGCCUUUAGACGUGAGAGGAGCAAUCCGUCUUCGUUAGGCUGCGGGGGUGGAAAGGACAGCUGCCGCGGGGACUGGCCGUGGCCAGCCAGGGAAGGUCGCUACCUGGAGGUGCAUCCCCUUCCUGCACCGGGCCCUGGCCCCUCGUCGUGUGGCCGGGCUGAGUGACCGUACAGGCUGGGCGCUGACAGUGUCCCCCUAAACUCCCAGGCUGAAGUCCAGUCCAGGAUCUCAGACUGGACUGCACUGUCAGGAGAGCCGGGGUCCUUUACCUGACGAAGCUAGAAGGAGGCCAUUAGGGUGGCCCUGACCAACAACACUGCAGUACUCCUAGGAAGGGAUCAGGACAGACAGAGGGAUGGCCACGGGACACUCAGGCACACAGAGGGACGGCCAUCAAGGACACAGGGAGAAGACACUCUCUGCAAACCAAGGAGGGGCUUCAGGGGCCGCCGCCCUGCCCCACCUGGAUCUUGGACUUGACCCUGACCCUGUUCAGCCCAGGGUGGAGGGUCCUGUCCAGGCCCCAGCACUGCUAGAGAGGUUUCCCAUAAACCCACCUCCCCUGUCCAGGCUGCCGAGGUCCCUGGGAGGUGACCCGGGGGCUGCCAAUCGGCUGCUCGCCGCAUCAGAAUGGACAGAACCUAGUUUCUCCAAAUGCCAACUCUUCAGGAAAGGGUGGGGCGUGGGCAAGCCCUGGGGUGACCCAGGACUUGGUGAAACCUGCUGGGACCUUCAAAGAUUGCUGGAAAGUGGCCUCCCCGCUCCAGGACACCAGCCAGGCCUCCCGGCUGCUUCAGCGUCCAGAGCAGAGGCAGCAGAGGGUCACGCACACACCAGGAGCCCCGAGAUGCUGCCCCCAGCUGGGCUCCGCUGCCCGCUCCUGCUCGGGAACAGCAGGCCACUCCUGAGCUCACCCAGUGGCAGCGGAAACUGAGCAGCCUGCUUAGGUGGAGGGUCCCUCCAGAGCCCGUCCCAGCCUGAGGGGCGGGCAGGCGGGAGGGUGGAGUGGGCCACCUGUGCCUCUGUGUAGAGACGGCCAUCACGGCUCAGCUGCCCUUCUCCUUCCUGCGGCAGAGUCACCUCGCCUCCCAGCCUGACUCCUGCAGGCUCCUGCGUCCUCACCCUGUGAGACAGUGACCGUGGGCAGGGAAGGGGUUCUCGUGGGCAAAGGAAGCUGGGCAGGUGCAGGUGGGGGACACUCGCCCAGCAGCUAGAAAGGGUUAACUGGCUGGUGGACACUGGCUGCGGCAAGGGGCGGCACUCACUCACCCUGGAGGCGCUGGCUGCAGAAGCAGACCCUGCCCGCUCUCGGGGCAGCUGCCCAUAACCCCAAUUACCCAGGAACAAUACGCUCGCGGCACCUUCAAGAUGUGGUGAUAUUUGCACCUGCUCAGCGCUCUCCUCUGAAACGCCGGCUAUUUAUAUCCAUCACCCGUGGCAGGCCUGGCGGAAACCAACAUGCCCGCGUCCUCCCUAGCGGGGUCUCUGUGACCACGCUGCUUUUAUGACUGUGGUGUUGAGUCUCGAGAGAAGAAAAGCGCCUUCCGCGCUCACCAGAGGAGACGGGCAGGCCAGGGCAACGCGGCAUGGCCGUCCGUGCCCUCCGGCUGAACUGGAGAGCCAGAGCGCAGGUGACAGGUGCACAUGGGACGUUGUGACCUCGGCCCUGUCCUCUGGGGUCUCCCUCGCCAUUCCCCCCCUGAGUCCUAGCUCAGCAGUACACUCCCUCGGGAGCCCAAGGGCUGCCCUCUCGCGGCUGGCGUUGAAGUAGAUCUGGGAACCGUGCACAACCACCAAAUGAGAACGGCACUGGGACAGGAGCUGGCCUGUGCGCUGGCCCCUGGGGUCCCCCUGUGCAGCCAGGGUGGAGACCAGCCAUCUUUACCCGAAGCCUCGGUGUCCAGGUACCCCACUGCGUGGCCAGCUGGAGGACAGGCCAGACAUGGGCCUCUGGUGCUGCUGACACAGCUCUUGUUUCUAGAGGCCUAGGGGAGGACACGGGCAGAAGAGGCAGGAGCGGCCAGUUCCCGGGUGCGGUGUCAGGGCUGGAGGGCGCCUGGCCUCUUUCCCUCAGUACUGCCCUCAGGGGUCCUUGGAGAACGGGUAAAGAUGGCCACAGUCGUGCUCGGCCACUCCUCCCGCAGCCAGGUGGAGGGUGGGCUAUGCAGCCAGCUGGGGAGGAGGCUGUGGCAGGAGCAGGGUCUGUUUGUGGCCUUUGAGGCUGUAGCAGGGUCUGUUUGUGGCCUCCGUCUGCGUCAUCUUUGCACGGUGUUGGGGAAAGUGCUCACCAUGUAAGCAACCGACCACCAGGAGACGGACAGCCAGGCCGGGAGGGUAGGCACCAGGGAGGGAGGGGUGACCCUGCUCUGGCCGUCAUGCCACCCCAGCCUGAGUGAAGAGGCUGGGUACAGCCACCACCUGAGUACACCCACGAGAGAAGCCACGCCACCCUCCUCUGCCGAGCGGUCAGUCCACCAACCUGCAGGACAGUAUGAAAUUCCUGGUUAGCCUCCAAGUCUGGGGGUGGCUCGUGACACGGCAAAGGGUGACGAGAAUGCCGUGGGUCCUGGUUGGACUAAUAGAGAAACUGAGGCUCAAACAUGGACUUCUCUGAGGCCUGGAGAUCAAGAGAAAGUUGAGCUUGAAACUGGGAUUUGACUUCAAAGACGGCUUCCCCCCAACGAAUCCCAUCAGACCCAACAGCCAGGGCAGCGUCAGAACUGACGGACGGUCCACUAAGCUGGAGAAAGGGCUUCACCCCGCUCCCCACCAGCUGCCCCCAGGCCCGCCAGUGCCCUUGGCCUGACCCUCUGCACCUGACCCCUGGAAACCCCAGAGCCGCCCGCCUGGUGCAGGCGCUGAUGAAGCGCAUACAUCAAGCUGCCCGCCUGCGUCUGCCGCUGCCUGAGCUGAGCGCGGCUCAGCAAGGCCAUUACCCUGUGAUGAGCACAGCCAGCGUCAGCUCCGCGGCCAGCCCAGCUGCCACAGAGUCUUUAUGGCUUCUCUGCGAAGAUAAAAACACCCAGAAAAUCCCUGAAACUGAGCCUAACUAUGCUUUACUAGAAAGCAAUCUGGCUUCCUGCAGCCCGCGGAUCAGCUCUGAAGGUCCCUUUAGGAGGGGAACAGAGUAGCCAGGGUGGGCAGCCCGGGCCCCGCGCUUUCCUCCUCUGGCGGGAUGAUGAGGGCCGCUGACUACGGGGCCGGGCUCUGGCCUCCUAGGGGCACACGAUCCAUCCCCGGGCCAGAGCCAAUGCCCGACUCCCUGGAAAGGGGGGUGCUCCCUCCUCUGCUGUCUCACAGACGGCGGGCACCGGAAAGGCCAAGGAGAGAGAGCAGGCUCAGAGGGAGGCCGCCCUCCAACACACCGCCCCGCCCUCAGCCAGGGUGCAGGUGGGUCGGCCAGGGCAUUGUGUACCUUCAGCGGGUCAAAUGCCCCUGGACACGGGGACACCGCCUUCAGCCCGCAGGAGCAGUGUCUGUGGCAGAUGCUACUGGGCCUGUCCUUACUCCGGGGCUCACUGCACCCAGCUCACUUCCCAGGGAGGGGCUGGGCUCGGCGGGGGGCAUCAGCCUCGGGAGCCGCCAGCCAGGAGGCCCCUCUAAAGCCCAAGGGUCACAUUUGGCCUCUCAAGUGGACAGAACUAGUCUUCCCAGGAUCCCUGCGUCACAGAACAACAGGAAGUCCUUCCCUGGGGCAGGUCCAGCUGGUGACCGGGGCACAGCCACGCACCUGAACUCCACUCUGCCCAUGUUAUUAAGCUCCUACUGUGUGCGUGUGGACCACCAUGCUGUCCACGGGUGUGCCCCCAAUGUCUCCCAACGGGUACAAAAGCAUUUCCCCACAGAUACAGCAAGAUGCAUUAUUAACAGAUUGUUAAGUACACCGCAUGAUUGUAGAGAAAUGGUUUCUAUCCACAUGUAAAAUUAUUUUAUUAUUAUGUGCAUAUAUUAGAAGAUUAAGUAGUCAAAUAACCAAACAGCAACAAUAACAUGUGAGGCUUCUCCAC
rnacentral:lncRNA from 1 species